UGCCUUGCCUCGCGCCGCCACCGCCUCCCCCUCGCACCGCCGCCGAACGCCGCCGCCGCCCCUCCUCCCUCUCCCUCAGCCAUCCUCCUCCUCCGCCGCCGGUCCACUCACCCCUAACCCUAGCCGCUGUCGCCCGCCUCCCCUCCUCCGCCACCGUCGUCGCCGUCGCCGCCGAGCGCCGCCACUUCCGCCUUCGCCUCGCGCCACCGCGUCCACAUCUGCCUCGCCCUCGCGCCGCCGCUUCCACCUCCACCGACGCCGCCGUCGUGUCGCCGUCUCCGAGUGCCUUCACCUCUGCCUUCCCCUCGCUCCGACGCCUUUCCGCCGAGCGUGGGCUUCGAGGUGAACAUGGAGAAAGCGAGGAGGCGAACACUCCUCUCCACCCCCGCCGACGCCGAUGCCGACGCCGCCGCCGCCUCCCCAUCGCGGUGCCACCUCCUGCUCUACCCGGCCGCCUCCGCCUCGCGCUGCCGCUGCUGUCGUCGCUGUCGAUCGCCGUCUCCGGCUGGCUCACCUCCGCCAAUGCCGAGCAGUGCCUCAACCUCUUCGGCCCCAACAAGCUCAAGGAGAAGAAGGAAAGCAAGUUCUUGAGGUUCUUGGGGUUCAUGUCGAACCCGCUGUCCUGGGUCAUGGAGGCCGCGGCGAUCAUGGCCAUCGCUCUCGCCAAUGGAGUAGGAAGCUGCCGGGCUGGCAGGACUUCGUGGGCAUCAUCACACUGCUCAUAAUGAACUCCACAAUCAGUUUCAUUGAGGAGAACAAUGCCGGCAAUGCCACCGCCACUCUCAUGGGCCGCCUCGCCCCAAGGGCCAAGGUGUGCAGCUGUGAUGAUUGUGUGUUGUGAUCUCAAGCAAUACUGACUUUUGCUUGUGGUUGAUCUAGCGGACACAGAAUCGAGCUCUCCUUGAGCAGCUUGCCACCAUUGUCAACGAUGACAAGGGGACGAAUCGGCCACAACAGGGAGGCUAAGGGUCUCAGAUCCUCCUUCCCCUUGUCUUUGCCGCGGUGUUCAUCCCUUUCACAACAGAGAAAAAAUUACCGGUUCAAUCGGCGACAGCAAUGGCCGCUCAACCUUGGUGGCAGUUCCUCGACCUGCUGCUUCCGCUGCUCGUAGCGGUCAUGAGGCAGGUGGCUGGCGGCGUCCAAGCCCCAUCCCCAAGGCUCUUCCCAGUGGCCAUCUCGUGAGGGUGGCCGGAUUUCUGACCAUGUUGCGCGGGAGAGAUGGCAGCAGCGGCUGGAGCGAUGUGAUGGGGAACAAAGGAGGAGGCCAGCAUCAGGUGGGACAGGAGGUUUGGGCCUUUUUAUUUUUAAUGAGGGGUAGGGUAGUUGUCUGGUUGUCCAUGUUCUAAUUUACCUCAUUAGUGUUGUGCUAAAUCGAAGGCGAGUUCCAGUAGUGCCAUUAUUCACGAUCAUUAGGAAAAUAAAUCAAUGAUGUACACAAAAGCUUGCAGUGCAACAUUGCUGCCUUCCAUGAAAUGAUUUCUUCCAAAAGAAUGGAAUGAUAAUGUCAUCAUUCAGCGUGCUGCAUUUUUUCCACUCGCUCUUAGUGGAGUUUACCAAGUCUCAAGUUGUUACAUCGAUCCCAGGAUUUUUCUUUUGCAUAUGGUAUUCUGCGAAGAAGCAUUGGCUAGCAAACAAUGUUUUGGGGAUUGCUUUCUGCAUUCAGUAUGCUCUUGUCUUAUCUUGAGAUAUAAGGGAAUUGAGAUGCUAUCACUUGGAUCAUUCAAAACUGGUGCUAUUCUCUUGGGGAUGAAAUUGUUACCAAUGGGAAGGAAAAGUUUAUUUUACCUCACAAUUUAUGGAUCUGUGGUAGGGGUUGGCUCCUAUGCUGUACACUAUUUCUCCACAUUGGUUGCUUCUAUUCUGGAAAAUUUUGGUUUAAGUGAAGAGAUGCACAACCCUGCAGAAAGCACAUAUAAUCUAUUGUUAAGGAAACAUCUCGCAACGAUCUACGGGGCGAGGUUGGAGUCCAUCCACAGGAGGACGACGUGAGAGUGGCCGCAGCUGGAGCCAAGGCCAAAAAAGAAGCCGAAGCUGGUGGGAAUGUCAGCGGCAAGCAGAGCACAGCCGGGUAGGGGAGGGGCGCCGUGGUCCUGCUGCAUCCUGCCCCCAAAAGUCCAAGCUCGAUCCGCCACUGCUAGGGUUAAAUAAGAUUCAAUUCAACACGAAACACAUCAAAAUUAUUCUGAAGCACAAGCCCCUUCACUCCCUCCACAUGCGGUUCUUGUAGUUUAAAAUGAACACAAUGAUUCAUAGACUAAAAUGAACAAAUGGCAACGAUCGCCAUCUCUGAAUCAAUGUGCGUGCUUCGGAACUAGGGUCAACUACUAUGUCGACUGUUGCUCGCACCUCCAUUGACAUCAAUCUCAUAUCCAAGGUUUGACACCUUUGGAUUGCAUACCAGAAUUUUCCAUGUUAUUCAGCUCGCAAUAAUUCAUCUUCAGGCAACCAUGCGGUCGGUGGAAAACAAUUAGAGGUACAGUGUGGAGUGGUUUGCAAUCCAGUUAGCAAGCUUAUGCGCACUCAAGAUGAAGGAAGGGGAUGAUGCAAUUUGGAGCACCUCUUUCUGACCAGAUGGACUCAAUUUUCACGGGCUCAGAAACUAAUGAAAAAUUAGUUCAUAUGUAUGUUGUGCAGGCAAUAGCUGUCUCUUGAAAGGUUCUCACAGCCUUACAGAUCAGUAGAUCACAAUGGGCAAGGUCAAGAUUGGAAGGAAGUGAGAACAUAACAUGCAUCUGAUGAAGGAAUUGACAGCAGGAUAGACUGAGAAUAAGCCGGUCCUUUUCUUUUCCCUUUGUUUGGACAUAAUAUUGAAGAAGUGGGUAUACAUUUUUCAGAAGAAUGUGAGCAUAAAUGUUGAUUUAUACAGUACUGAAAAACAAUUACAUA